UACGUAGGCAGCGAGCGUUGUUCGGAGUUACUGGGCGUAAAGGGUGUGUAGGCGGUUCUCUAAGUUUGGUGUGAAAUCUCCCGGCUCAACCGGGAGGGUGCGCCGAAAACUGGGGGACUCGAGUGCGGGAUGGGAGAGUAGAAUUCCUGGGUGUAGCGGUGAAAUGCGUAGAUAUCAGGAGGAAUACCGGUGGUGUAGACGGCUCUCUGGACCGCCACUGACGCUGAGACACGAAAGCGUGGGUAGCAAACAGG
rnacentral:rRNA from 1 species